AUACGGAGGAUCCGAGCGUUAUCCGGAUUUAUUGGGUUUAAAGGGUGCGUAGGUGGUUUGAUAAGUCAGCGGUGAAAGUUUGCAGCUUGACUGUAAAAAUGCCGUUGAAACUGUCGGACUUGAGUGUAAAUGAGGUAGGCGGAAUGCGUGGUGUAGCGGUGAAAUGCAUAGAUAUCACGCAGAACUCCGAUUGCGAAGGCAGCUUACUAAGCUACAACUGACACUGAAGCACGAAAGCGUGGGGAUCAAACAGGAUUAGAUACCCUGGUAGUCCACGCAGUAAACGAUGAUUACUAGCUGUUUGCGAUACACAGUAAGCGGCACAGCGAAAGCGUUAAGUAAUCCACCUGGGGAGUACGCCGGCAACGGUGAAACUCAAAGGAAUUGACGGGG
rnacentral:rRNA from 1 species